ACGGAAGGGGCACCCUUCCGUACGCGCUAUGCUGCAAGCCGCCCCGCGGGGGAAGUCCGGUCGAAGUCCGGCGCUGACCCGCAACGGUAGGCGGAGCCACCAUGGCUCCGUGAGCCCGAUUACCCGCGGUGGUGAACGCUCCUGA
rnacentral:ncRNA from 1 species